rnacentral:rRNA from 1 species
UCCACCCUACGGGACGCAGCAGUGAGGAAUAUUGGUCAAUGGGCGGAAGCCUGAACCAGCCAAGUCGCGUGAGGGAAUAAGGCCCUACGGGUCGUAAACCUCUUUUGCCAGGGAGCAAGGGCGGGGACGUGUCCCGGCCCGGAGAGUACCCGGAGAAAAAGCAUCGGCUAACUCCGUGCCAGCAGCCGCGGUAAUACGGAGGAUGCGAGCGUUAUCCGGAUUUAUUGGGUUUAAAGGGUGCGUAGGCGGGCUUUUAAGUCAGCGGUAAAAAUUCGGGGCUCAACACCG